GGCAGUGUAGCACAGUGGGUUAGGAACUAGGCUUGUAACCGAAAGGUCAAAGGUUCGAUUCCUGGAUAGGACACUGCCG
rnacentral:tRNA from 1 species